GAAAGCUGGUUUGUUUACGGUCUUCCAGAGAAGGAUGAGAUUGAUAAUUAUAUAUCUUCAAAGGCUAAAAGACUUAAGAGUCUCAAUUCUCAAAAAAGUUUGUAGGAGUUUAUGUUUAAUGUUAAUUGUUCUUAAUAGCAUAAUGCUGGCAAAAACCCUCAUUCCAUAUGGCUCUUCUUUCAGUGGAGUAAUGGUUUCGGUGGAAAUCUCUAUAUGGUGGCCAUUUUUAUCAAAGUUAGAGUAGGUUCCUCCUUUGGUUUUGGAUUCAAGGGACCUUCAUUAUUGUAAUAAUUGUAUAUAAUUUUUUUGUAUUUUAUUUUAGUGAAAUACGAAAUGAAAUGAUUUUUUUGUAAUUUAAGUACUAUUUAGAGUUGUAUUUUUUUUAUUUAGCUAGUUAGAUGUACAAUGAUAUAUUCAUUAUAAAGUGAUCAUAUGUAUUCUGAAUA